AGGAUGAACGCUGGCGGCGUGCUUAACACAUGCAAGUCGAGCGGUGAACCAUUUCGGUGGGGAUCAGCGGCGAACGGGUGAGUAACACGUGGGUAACCUGCCCCUGACUUUGGGAUAACUUCGGGAAACCGGGGCUAAUACCGGAUACGAGCUUCUGCCGCAUGGUGGGGGUUGGAAAGGGUUUCCGGUUGGGGGAUGGGCCCGCGGCCUAUCAGCUUGUUGGUGGGGUGAUGGCCUACCAAGGCGACGACGGGUAGCCGGCCUGAGAGGGUGUUCGGCCACACUGGGACUGAGACACGGCCCAGACUCCUACGGAGGCAGCAGUGGGGAAUCUUGCGCAAUGGGCGAAAGCCUGACGCAGCGACGCCGCGUGCGGGAUGGACGGCCUUCGGGUUGUAAACCGCUUUCAGCAGGGACGAAGCUAAUGUGACGGUACCUGCAGAAGAGCCCCGGCAACUACCGUGCCAGCAGCCGC
rnacentral:rRNA from 1 species